CGCUGGAAGAGAACGGACAACGCUUACGUGCCGCACGCAGCACAGGCACUAGCUCAUAAACACUGCAUCUCAGGAGAAGAACGACUCGGAAAACGGGGAAGCGAGCGUGCAGAACAGAGGCUGAGGCUGCCCACGCACGACGGCGCGGGACGCCACCUUCCCAGAGGACGUCUCCAUCUGUCGAGGGAAAGCCGAACUCUCCGCAUCACUGCAGAGACAGGCGCGCAAGAACUCACGCACCCCAUCUGCACUCAGCCCUGCACCAGACACGGGCCUGCCGUCCAAAGAGGACUCAUUUAGUCAAGGGCGUGAACAGCGACAAGGAUGACGUGUCUGCCGUGAAGUUCUAACCAUUACUGAGGAUGAUUGUCGAAUCCUAACCACGCGGCCCUCCCGCAACUCUGAGCUCCGCCAGUGACGACCGGUUCCCGGGGCCCUGAGACAGGACCGGCACCACGGUCUCCGCCAGGCUGAGAAAGGUAGGAACACCGGGUAUAAACCCGCUGGACAUCGUCUUCUGUGUGUGACACAGGAAUGAACACACGUUCCUCAAAGGGCUAGUCUGAAGUCUGAAAAACGGCACGUCUGAAAGUAGUUUAAUAUAAUAGAAAAUCACCCACUUCGGAGUCUCAGCCAUUUUCCCUGCCUGGUUAAUGAACAGAAAUUGACACCGCACACCUGAAAAAUAAUUUCCUUUUCCUUAAAAUACAAACUGAGAACAAAAAAAAUGAAGAAUCACUUGAAAAAACAGUAGCCUAACAGAAAAAUGAAACAUGUACUUCUAGCAUUCUUACGGCUCUACUACGUGCACGGAAACAGUUUUUCAAUUGCUGGGCAUUCAACCUACAGCCCAAAUAAAAGCAUUAUAAAUUCCCUGCUAUCUGUAGAGCAGAUACUUCUAUAGUAUAAAAUUUGGAGACUCAUGCCUUCAGAUACACACCUGCUCACCUUCUCAGUCCAGUGACUCCUGAAGCAUCCCUCCGCCUUCCUUGAAGACCUCAUCUCACUGCUGGUGCCCACUCACUGCACCCCACCCUCCAUGAGCCCCGUCAAGUUCGUGGUCAGUUUCGCAUCCACGGAACCAGGAAAACCAUGAAGGAAAGGAGGAACUCUGUCUGUAGCGGCGCUGCUCUACAGGAAACACCAGAGUGUCUCAGAAGCCACUCAGCUCCUCCCCACCCGUCAGGUCCCAGGGACAGCAGGGGACGCUCACCUGGAUGGCGAGGCUGGAGUGAUCACUGUCUGUGCGCAUGUGCGGCUUUUCCUCGUAACUUGGCCACUGGUUCUGAGGAGGAGCCGCGCGGUCCUGGGACCUGGAGGCGGGGAAGGUGAAGUACUCCCUGGUGGACGUCUGCGUGGGGACGGGGUAGGCCUCCGGCCGGGGCGCAGGGGGCUCCUCCUGCAAGACGGGAAGGAGAAGCGAGCUUUCUGCAGUCUGUACAGUAGAUUCACUUACUUUCCAAUGAUCUGUUUUAAAAUAUGUACGUUUAAAAACCGUGUUCAAAAUUAAAAGUGUGAUCCUACACUGAGAAUAAUAAAAAACAUUUUAUUUU